AGAGUUUGAUCAUGGCUCAGGAUGAACGCUAGCUACAGGCUUAACACAUGCAAGUCGAGGGGCAGCAUUUUUCUAGCAAUAGAAGAGAUGGCGACCGGCGCACGGGUGAGUAACACGUAUCCAACCUGCCGAUAACUCCGGAAUAGCCUUUCGAAAGAAAGAUUAAUACCGGAUAGUAUACGAAUAUCGCAUGAUAUUUUUAUUAAAGAAUUUCGGUUAUCGAUGGGGAUGCGUUCCAUUAGUUUGUUGGCGGGGUAACGGCCCACCAAGACUACGAUGGAUAGGGGUUCUGAGAGGAAGGUCCCCCACAUUGGAACUGAGACACGGUCCAAACUCCUACGGGAGGCAGCAGUGAGGAAUAUUGGUCAAUGGGCGAGAGCCUGAACCAGCCAAGUAGCGUGAAGGAUGAAGGCUCUAUGGGUCGUAAACUUCUUUUAUAUGGGAAUAAAGUUUUCCACGUGUGGAAUUUUGUAUGUACCAUAUGAAUAAGGAUCGGCUAACUCCGUGCCAGCAGCCGCGGUAAUACGGAGGAUCCGAGCGUUAUCCGGAUUUAUUGGGUUUAAAGGGAGCGUAGGUGGAUUGUUAAGUCAGUUGUGAAAGUUUGCGGCUCAACCGUAAAAUUGCAGUUGAAACUGGCAGUCUUGAGUACAGUAGAGGUGGGCGGAAUUCGUGGUGUAGCGGUGAAAUGCUUAGAUAUCACGAAGAACUCCGAUUGCGAAGGCAGCUCACUAGACUGUUACUGACACUGAUGCUCGAAAGUGUGGGUAUCAAACAGGAUUAGAUACCCUGGUAGUCCACACAGUAAACGAUGAAUACUCGCUGUUUGCGAUAUACAGUAAGCGGCCAAGCGAAAGCAUUAAGUAUUCCACCUGGGGAGUACGCCGGCAACGGUGAAACUCAAAUGAAUUGACGG
rnacentral:rRNA from 1 species